rnacentral:SRP_RNA from 1 species
AGCCAGGAACCAUGCGAGUUGGCGCCGCCUAACCCCGCCAGGCCCGGAAGGGAGCAACGGUAAGCGGAGGCUUGCUGCGCCGUGAUCAUCCUGGUUUCG